rnacentral:lncRNA from 1 species
AUCCACACUAGUGCCUUUUCAUGCAAGGGUUUGAACUGGUUUAGGCAACAUUUGAGGUGUUGGCAUAUGCAGGGAGGGUGCCAGAUAGACCUAGGGGAUGGUGACAUGGAAGGUGCUGGUGGCAUAGUGUUGCUCCAUAUGGGGGAGAGCAUGCGAUAGAGAUGAGGAUUAUGACGAAAAAUAACAAUCUAAAGAGAGUUCCAAGAAGUGGCAUCAAUGAAGGCAUAAAAGAGAUAGUUGGGGAGGCACAGGAUCCACCAAAGGUGAUGGCGAGAGAAGGGAGGUGCAAGCAAAGGCAAGGUGGGCCA